CAGCUGCUGUGGAUGUGCACUCCCAGGGACGUGCUGGUGUAAGUGAUGACUGAAUUUUUUCCCCAUCAGAGCGACAGUGUUGAUUUCUUGCUGUUCAAGCCAGAUCAUGUCUGAUGCACCAGCAGGGAAAUGCUGUGUCCCACACCCUGACAGGGUCUGGUGCUGACAGGUCCCUUUGCCUUUGCCCCCAGGACACUGAAGGCAGAAGUGGGGGGCUGAGCCUUGGGGUGACCUAAGUUAAGGCUGCAGCUGACAGUGAGGAGGUGUGGAUGAGGACAUUGCUGGUUUGCUCCACCAUGUGUGCACUGUUGUCAGGGGAGAAUGGUUGAGAUUUAUAAAAAGUUGUCCUGGGCCCUGCUGGAGUUCCAGUGUUCUGCUUAAGAAGAUGGAUAGCUCUGCUGCUCGGGAUCCUCGUUCAAGCCACAGCAUUCCCGUACCCUGCCAUAGCUCUGACCUCUCAAAACUGUCAGGAGUAAUGAAUUUGUGUCCUGCCAACUUAGAUGGAGGGUGUUUUAUUUUCUGUCCCCUGGGUACAAAGGCAUGUCACUGGAAUGGCUUCUGGAACUUGCUUUGCUGCAUGUUUAAUGCAGUUGGAUGCUUUUUUCUGCAGGGGCUGCAUUCCCUGCCUGGCAGAGGAUGUUGUCCUGCCAUAGUCAUGAAAUGCAAGGAAGCCUCCUCAGAGCAGCUGUCAGGUGUGGGAGGAUGGCCUCGUGUGUAAGGAUGGCAGUCAGGGCUUGGUUCUCCCCUGCCAUCCAGAAAGCUCCAGUGGGGUAUCCCUGGCAGCCUGUGAAGUGGGCAAGGGUUGUCUGGGUGCUGCAGCAGUGUGUUUCUGUACUAUUGGAAGCCUGGUUUUAAUAAAUCCUUGAGUAAUGGGUGA